rnacentral:rRNA from 1 species
ACGUAGGGUGCGAGCGUUAAUCGGAAUUACUGGGCGUAAAGUGUGCGCAGGCGGCAGAGCAAGUCGAGUGUGAAAGCCCCGGGCUUAACUUGGGAAUUGCGCUCGAAACUACUUUGCUGGAGUGUGGCAGAGGAAGGUGGAAUUCCACGUGUAGCGGUGAAAUGCGUAGAGAUGUGGAGGAACACCAAUGGCGAAGGCAGCCUUCUGGGCCAACACUGACGCUCAUGCACGAAAGCGUGGGGAGCAAACAGGA